CUUUUUCUUUUAUUCAUUUGCUGCCCUCUCUCUCUUUCGAUACCACCGAAACAACGAAGAAACAUGAAUCGUUUAUCAAAAUCGUGGAAAACAAAACAAUCGACUUUCUGAUCGGUUUCCAGAUAAAAUUGAUCACUCAUCAUCGUCUUCUUCUUGCUGAGAUUUGUCCUUCUUGGUUUCACGGAACAUAUUGUAUCAGGUAACCCGAAGAAAAAUGUUUCUGUUCUUAUAACUACAGCUAAGUAGUUCUGCUCUUGUUUUCUUUUCGUGAGUUUUGUUUGAUGGUUCUGUUCUGUUAUGUUUUCUGUUCUGUUAUGCUUUUGGUUAUGUUAUGCUUUUGUGGAAUUAGCGUUGUUUUACAGUGAGAUCUUUAGAUUCAUUGGAUUUGCUUUCUGAUAUUUAUUGGAUUUAUUGGAUUUGAGAGCAUUGUUUGAUGGAUUUUGGAAUCUUUGGCUUAAGGUUAAAUCAACACUAGCGAUGCAAAUCUUCAACCCAAGAUUGUUGAUGAUUGAGUCUGACUGUUUGUUCUGUUUUUUUUUGGGGAUAUGUAGGUGAGAAUUCAGCUAGAGACGUCACGAUUGUAUAAACAAGCUGGUGUUAAUCCAUUGACAGGGGCUUUUCACAGACGGUUUCUUAUUGUCUCCCAUGUUUAUAUAGCAAGAGAGAAGCGGAUUUCUUUUCACAGUUGGUUUCUUUUCACAGACGGUUUCGUUUAGAGGAAAGUUUGGCCAUGUUUAUAUAGCAAGAGAGAAGCGGGUUGUUUCAGAGAAGGCGCUGCUCUGCGUUUGGUACAUGUAAAUUUCCAUUUGUAUUUUCACGAAAAAGCUUUGAUCUUUAACCAUUUGUAUCUCUACUGAGUUUUCUCAUGAAUCCCCAACGAUUUGAGGAGGCAUUUCGAGAUAAAUAUAUGGUGUGUUUGUCUCUUCCCAUUUGUAUGAAGUUUUUUGUAUCUGCUUCUUGCCUUUGUUCUCCUUUUAUGCACUUGUGUAUUUUUAAAACACAAUUUUUAAUAAAAAUAAUAAGACACUAAGAGAUGA